AUCCCAUGGUGAGGGCAUUUAUGCAGUAGCUCCAUGAAUCUUUCCCAGGCCUCGUUGAAGUAUUUCUCAUUCAUUUGUUGGAAAAAAGUGAUACCAUUUUGCAACAU
rfam:Gossypium arboreum cultivar AKA8401 contig_83055_1, whole genome shotgun sequence.